rnacentral:siRNA from 1 species
ACCGCUCGAAAUCGCCAGU